rnacentral:rRNA from 1 species
CAGCCAUGCCGCGUGCAGGAAGACUGCCCUAUGGGUUGUAAACUGCUUUUAUACAGGAAGAAAUGUACCUACGUGUAGGUAUUUGACGGUACUGUACGAAUAAGGAUCGGCUAACUCCGUGCCAGCAGCCGCGGUAAUACGGAGGAUCCAAGCGUUAUCCGGAAUCAUUGGGUUUAAAGGGUCCGUAGGUUGAUAAUUAAGUCAGAGGUGAAAUCUUGCAGCUCAACUGUAAAAUUGCCUUUGAUACUGAUUAUCUUGAGUUAUUAUGAAGUAGUUAGAAUAUGUAGUGUAGCGGUGAAAUGCAUAGAUAUUACAUAGAAUACCAAUUGCGAAGGCAGAUUACUAAUAAUCAACUGACACUGAUGGACGAAAGCGUGGGUAGCGAACAGGAUUAGAUACCCUGGUAGUCCACGCCGUAAACGAUGGUUACUAGCUGUGUGGAUUUCGGUCUGCGUGGCUAAGCGAAAGUGAUAAGUAACCCACCUGGGGAGUACGUUCGCAAGAAUGAAACUCAAAGGAAUUGACGGGGGCCCGCACAAGCGGUGGAGCAUGUGGUUUAAUUCGAUGAUACGCGAGGAACCUUACCAGGGCUUAAAUGUAAGUUGCAUUAGCUAGAGAUAGCUAUUUCUUCGGACCACUUACAAGGUGCUGCAUGGUUGUCGUCAGCUCGUGCCGUGAGGUGUCAGGUUAAGUCCUAUAACGAGCGCAACCCCUGUUGUUAGUUGCCAGCGAUUCAAGUCGGGAACUCUAACAAGACUGCCGGUGCAAACCGUGAGGAAGGUGGGGAUGACGUCAAAUCAUCACGGCCCUUACGUCCUGGGCUACACACGUGCUACAAUGGUAGG